UAGGGCCAUAUCACGUAGAAACACCGGUAUCCGUACGAUUGCCGAAGUUAAGCAACGUCGAGCCUGGUCAAUACCUAGUUAUGUGACCCCUUGUGAAUACCUGCUGCUGUAAG